rnacentral:rRNA from 1 species
UAGUCCACGCCCUAAACGAUGUACACUAGUUGUUGUGAGGCUAGACCUUGCAGUAAUGCAGUUAACACAUUAAGUGUACCGCCUGGGGAGUACGGUCGCAAGAUUAAAACUCAAAGGAAUAGACGGGGACCCGCACAAGCGGUGGAGCAUGUGGUUUAAUUCGACGAUACGCGAAGAACCUUACCUGGACUUGACAUAGAAAGAAUAACGCAGAGAUGUGAUAGUGCUUGCUUGCAAGAACUUUCAUACAGGUGCUGCACGGCUGUCGUCAGCUCGUGUCGUGAGAUGUUGGGUUAAGUCCCGCAACGAGCGCAACCCUUAUUUCUAGUUGCCAUUUGGAACUCUAGAAAGACUGUCGGUUAUAAACCGGAGGAAGGCGGGGAUGACGUCAAGUCAGCAUGCCCCUUAUGCCCUGGGCUACACACGUGCUACAAUGGACGAGACAAUGAGUUACAAAUCUGCGAAGAUAAGUUAAUCUAUAAACUCGUUCUAAGUUCGGAUUGU